GCACAUGUACCUGCCCCCCAUCCGCCGCAUCCCCGGCGACCGCUGCAGAAGGAGCGAGAACCUUCUCCACGGCGACCGCGUCGACGUCACCGGCCACGGUAAGCGGAAGAAGAUCAGGGACGGCCUACCCCAGCUCCUCCCGCUGCAACGCCAAGGAGAGGCCGGCCGGCCGGACCUGGCCGACCACCACGCGAAAAGGGCUCCACCAGGAGGAGCUCUUCCGCCCACAAAAUAUUUGCAGGAACCUUAUGGAGCCUACCAAAGCCGAGAAGAAAGAGAUGGUGCCACGGUGGCUCUCGGUGACCUUGGCCGGCGGGAGGGGCGCAAAAGCUUACAACGGUUGCAGGGAUGCCGGCUUAGAGGCACGAUGGGAGACCUUUAGUUGUAGCUGCUAAGUCCCAAGUUUCAUCAAUAAAGAUCGAUGGGUUCAAGCAGGAUAGCUGGUGGUGGUUAUUGUUGCAACAAAUAGAAAAGAAGACCUUAUCAGUGCACCCCAUGCCCACGAUGAUUCAUUGCUGCUGCUGCACCACAAACCCAAGAGGAGCAGGUCAGGGUCAAAGAAAGGAACAGAAAAUAGAAACAAGAAAGACAAAAGAGAAGAGAUGGGGAUUGUACAAAACUUCCUCGAGCUCUCCAUCAAUUUAUGUCUCGUGCAGCCAUGGAGUCUGCAGAAGCUGAGAAGCAAGAGACAAAUGGCGGUAGAAGACCAUGUUGC